rnacentral:rRNA from 1 species
GGGCCCGCACAAGUAGUGGAGCAUGUGGUUUAAUUCGAAGAUACGCGCAGAACCUUACCAACACUUGACAUGUUCGUCGCGACUUUAAGAGAUUAAAGUUUUCGGUUCGGCCGGACGAAACACAGGUGCUGCAUGGCUGUCGUCAGCUCGUGUCGUGAGAUGUUGGUUAAGUCCCGCAACGAGCGCAACCCUCACUUUUAGUUGCCAUCAUUUAGUUGGGCACUCUGAAAGAACUGCCAGUGAUAAGCUGGAGGAAGGUGGGGAUGACGUCAAGUCCUCAUGGCCCUUACGUGUUGGGCUACACACGUGCUACAAUGGUAUCUACAACAGGAAGCAAAACGGCGACGAUUAAGCA